UACGUAGGGGGCAAGCGUUGUCCGGAUUUAUUGGGCGUAAAGAGCGUGUAGGCGGCCAGGUAGGUCCGCUGUGAAAACUCGAGGCUCAACCUCGAGAUGUCGGCGGAAACCAUCUGGCUAGAGUCCGGAAGAGGAGAGUGGAAUUCCUGGUGUAGCGGUGAAAUGCGCAGAUAUCGGGAGGAACACCAGUGGCGAAGGCGACUUUCUGGCCUGUUCUUGACGCUGAGGCGCGAAAGCUAGGGGAGCAAACGGG
rnacentral:rRNA from 1 species